rnacentral:lncRNA from 1 species
UUGUUUACCGGAUGUGUGAUAGAUGCUGGGAAGAGAACGCUGUCAUUAACCUCAAAGAAUUCAGUCCAGUGACAUAUCUUAUCUCAGCACGGUUCACCUUGUACGGUUUCUGCUUGUGUGUGUCUCUGAAAUCAACCAUGAACUCUCUGAAAACGCAGGUUAUUACCUCAUUCAUGUCUUCAUUCCCAAUGCUAAAAACAAUACCUGUGCACAGCAGCCGACAGAGACACUUGUUGAAACAAACAAAAUUCUCUUUCAGUUUAAGUAGGGACUGCUUCUAGGAAAAGCAAACUGAGCAAGUUUUCAUACUAAUAGGUGAUUUUUAAUUACCUGCCAAAAAAAAAAAAAUCUCCGUUUUCAAAAAUAUCACACACAUUUUGGAAACAGACUGUAUCCGCAAGAGGCAAAUUCACCUUCAAGCGAAAGAGAAACAACUGUAUGGAAAAGCUGAAAGAUGAGACCCGCUGACGCUGGCACGCUGGCUAAUCACCUGGACUACAUGGUGGCUGUGGCUUCACCGGGAGAAUAAAAGGAGUUCUAAUACUACAUCCCCACUCACAGCCCACGGGCCAGAAGUGUCACUUGGCCGGCCCGACUCCAGGUAAGACUUUUAAUAACUUCUCCAGCCUUUAAAAAAGAGGCCCAAGAUAGAAUUUUGGGAAUAGGUACCAGGCUAUGCAGCGUCUGCCAGUCGACCUGUUAGGCUCCCCCAAAUUUUCAUCGUUCUUCCCACACAUACACUUUGAAAGCAUUCACCCCUGACUAGAGCCGACUCCAUGUCUCUUCCAGUUAUUGACUGCAGCCACAGUCUUGGGAGUGAACGGUGUGGCUUUCCCCAUCAGAUCCAAAUGGGGCCCCACCUGGUACACACUUACAGCCACCAGGCGAGGCAGCCUGCCCUGAACACAGGCCCUGACGCACAGAGGCAGGCCCGGCCCGGCCAACUGCCCGCUCCACGCCCCAGCAAGCCUGAUGGACGAGCUCACCGAGGGGGCCCUGCACCCGAGCACUUACAGCACCUGCUCUCUGGGGGUCUGUCCAACCCCCUCACCUUACUUCACAGUUAAGGCUGUUGUCUUGGGCAGUUCAAAACCAACCUUUCAAGUAAAAAAGCAGUACCUUCAGAUUCGUUUUUGCAAGACUAGGAUCUCCAAUCUGGACUCCUGCUAAGGCUGCCGCUGGGGCCCUUGGCUGAGCUUCCAUGAUGGGAGGUUUCCCCACAGCGGUGGGGCUCUAACUCGGAGAUCUGAGUCACCUGAGGAUGCAGGCCGGAACACUGGAGGCUUUUCCCGCGGCAAGGCUGGCUUCUCUUCUUCACACUUGCUUUUGAGCCAGACUCCCUUAGUCUGGCUUUAUGUUCUUUUGCAGGACCUUGCAGCUCUCAUUUAACUCAAUACUUCUGGGAUACACAUGAUUGACUUCAUCUUCCUAACAAUCCUAGGUAAGGGCGGUUUUCAUUUCCAUUUCCAGCCGAGGCACCUGGUCACAGAGCAAGGAAGCAGCAGCAGGGUUGGACCCCAAACGCUCCAGUGGCCCCACCACCACCACGGCUGCCUAAGAAGUGACCAACACUUGCGAAUGCGC